UCAUGUAAAAUCGUCUGAUUCGGUCGUUCCUAAAAAAGAGACUGAGAAAUUUCUCCACUUUGCCCUGAAGCUUUGAACUCCCCCCAUCAUGAACGACACAACGCUCUCUCAUCCAUCGGCCCUUCCUAGCCUACAACCUCCUUCCUUCUUCGUCUCCUUCUUCCGUCGGAGCCGACCAUUGAAUCAAUUUAUUCUUCCUUUAAUUUUUGCAGGAGAGAGAAUAUUGAUUGGCCGGGAGAAAGAUAGAAAAGGAGAACGUGUUUGCUUUGAUUUUUUCUGCGAUGGAGUAAUACCAGGGAGAGGAGUUUGAGGAUGUUUCAAAUGAUGGUGAAGUAUUGUAUUGAAAGUCAAAGUUGGUGUUCCAAAUUGCUUUGUAAUUCGAUUGAAAAAAUAAUUCAUGUGUUUUUAUUAUGUUCUCUUUGUGUAUGUGUAUGUAUGAUCAAUGUUCAUUGCCUUUUCUGUUAA